GGAUUGUGGCUCAGUGGCAGAGUGCUUGCCUUGCACGUGUGGGGUCCUGGGUUCAAACCUCAGCACCA
rnacentral:tRNA from 1 species